GCGGGGUGCCGGCAGGUCGACGAUUCGCGGCCUAUCAGCUUGUUGGUGAGGUAAUGGCUCACCAAGGCUAUGACGGGUAGUUGGUCUGGGAGGAUGAUCAGCUACAAUGGGACUGAGACACGGCCCAUACUCCUACGGGAGGCAGCAGUUAGGAAUUUUGCGCAAUGGACGAAAGUCUGACGCAGCAAUACCGCGUGAAGGAUGAAGACUUUAGGGUUGUAAACUUCUUUUCUAAGGGACGAAGUCUGACGGUACCUUAGGAAUAAGCUCCGGCUAAAUACGUGCCAGCAGCCGCGGUAAUACGUAUGGAGCAAGCGUUAUCCGGAUUUAUUGGGCGUAAAGAGUCUGUAGGUGGUUUACCAAGUUGGAGAUGAAAUACAUAGGCUUAACUUAUGGAACGUUUCCAAAACUGGUAGACUAGAGGCAAGGAGAGGCAAGCGGAACUUGUGGUGUAGGGGUAAAAUCCGUAGAUAUCACAGGGAACGCCGAUGGCGAAAGCAGCUUGCUGGCCUUGUCCUGACACUGAGAGACGAAAGCGUGGGUAGCGAACGGGAUUAGAUACCCCGGUAGUCCACGCCGUAAACGAUGGGUACUAGAUAUUAGCUGUAUCGACCCAGCUAGUGUCGUAGCUAACGCGUUAAGUACCCCGCCUGGGGAGUACGGAAU
rnacentral:rRNA from 1 species